UAUUUACUCCCUUCGUCCGGAAAUACUUGUCGAAGAAAUGCAUAAAAUGAAUGUAUCUAGAACUAAAAUACGUCUAGAUACAUCUAUUCCUCCGACAAGUAUUUCCGGACGGAGGGAGUAUUUC
rfam:Triticum aestivum genome assembly, contig: Triticum_aestivum_CS42_TGACv1_scaffold_577578_7BL